rnacentral:rRNA from 1 species
CCUACGGGAGGCAGCAGUAGGGAAUAUUGCUCAAUGGGGGAAACCCUGAAGCAGCAACGCCGCGUGGAGGAUGAAGGUUCUCGGAUUUUAAACUUCUUUUGUUAGAGAAGAUAAUGACGGUAUCUAACGAAUAAGCACCGGCUAACUCCGUGCCAGCAGCCGUGGUAAUACGGAGGGUGCAAGCGUUACUCGGAAUCACUGGGCGUAAAGAGCGCGUAGGCGGGAUAGCAAGUCAGAUGUGAAAUCCUAUGGCUUAACCAUAGAACUGCGUUUGGAACUGUUAUUCUAGAGUAUGGGAGAGGUAGGUGGAAUUCGUGGUGUAGCGGUAAAAUGCGUAGAGAUCAAGAGGAAUUCUGAUUGCGAAGGCAGCCUACUAGAGCGUAACUGACGCUGAUGCGCGAAGGCGUGGGGAGCGAACAGGAUUAGAUACCCGAGUAGUC